UGGGGAAUAUUGCACAAUGGGCGAAAGCCUGAUGCAGCAACGCCGCGUGAGUGAUGAAGGCCUUCGGGUUGUAAAGCUCUGUCUUUUGGGACGAUAAUGACGGUACCAAAGGAGGAAGCCACGGCUAACUACGUGCCAGCAGCCGCGGUAAUACGUAGGUGGCGAGCGUUGUCCGGAUUUACUGGGCGUAAAGGAUGCGUAGGCGGAUAUUUAAGUGAGAUGUGAAAUACCCGAGCUUAACUUGGGUGCUGCAUUUCAAACUGGAUAUCUAGAGUGCGGGAGAGGAGAAUGGAAUUCCUAGUGUAGCGGUGAAAUGCGUAGAGAUUAGGAAGAACACCAGUGGCGAAGGCGAUUCUCUGGACCGUAACUGACGCUGAGGCAUGAAAGCGUGGGUAGCAAACAG
rnacentral:rRNA from 1 species